rnacentral:rRNA from 1 species
CCUACGGGUGGCAGCAGUGAGGAAUAUUGGUCAAUGGGCGCGAGCCUGAACCAGCCAAGUAGCGUGAAGGAUGACUGCCCUGCGUGUUGUAAACUUCUUUUAUCAGGGAAUAAAGUGUGGCACGUGUCCCUGUUUGUGUGUACUUUAUGAAUAAGCAUCGACUAACUCCGUGCCAGCAGCCGCGGUAAUACGGAGGAUCCGAGCGUUAUCCGGAUUUAUUGGGUUUAAAGGGCGCGUAGAUGGGUUGUUAAGUCAGAUGUGAAAGGGUGGGGCUCAACCGUAAGACUGCAAUUGAUACUGGCAGUCUUGAGUACAGGUGAGGUAGGCGGAAUGCGCGGUGUAGCGGUGAAAUGCUUAGAUAUCACGAAGAACUCCGAUUGCGAAGGCAGCUUGCUAAACUGCCACUGACAUUGAGGCUCGAAAGUGUGGGUAUCAAACAGGAUUAGAUACCCGUGUAGUC